CUUUUCCCAACAUGUUAUCUGCACAAGGCAAAGGAUAGAUGAGCAACCAAGGCAGAAGCAGGACAUGCAACUAUAUUCAUACAGAGAUAACACAAGUAGUACAUGGAUGAAUGAUCAAGGCCAAUACAGAAUAAUGGAAUGCUAAAAACAGAAUGGUAAAAAUGCUAAGUCAGUUUUAACACGAAGCGAGAGUCUUGGUGCUGGGGUAGGGGCUAACCUAUGUGCAUUUCGAGUUGGCCCUCGUAGAACUCGAAGGGAAUUAUUG
rnacentral:lncRNA from 1 species